GCUGGUGCCCGUUCUCGCCUCCCAGCGACCAGCCAGUUGCCAGCUGCUGGGGAGAAUGAGCUUGGAGCCGCAGGGCUUAAUCCCGCGCGGCUCAGAGAUGGGUUUCUGGACUCGCGAAGCAGCUGCAACAAGGCAUCACUCACUGUACAAGUAUUUCCAUUUCUGAGAGCAAAAGGAAGAACUUAAGCGGGCGGCACUUGGAGUGUAAAUUGCUUUGUAGUAUUUAAAGGCAGAAUGGAUCCUGGGCAGCCGAGCUGCAUGGCCUCCUUAGGAAGGAUUCGGCUUAGACGUGGAGAGGAAGACUGAGUGCCUGUGUGUAUGACUGAGUAUCAAUCAAUCCAAAUUCCAAAGAGUACUACAGAAACAAGACUUACGUACAUUAUUUUCCACCUUUCCCAGAUAAAAACCUUCAAAUAUAAUCCUACCACAAGACAUGGCAAGAGAAAUACGGACCGUUAACUACAACAACAAUCCCAAAUUCUGAGUUCUAUAUGAGGAACCCCCAGAUGGAAUGUCAGACUGUGGUCUUCUGCCUCCUAAGCUAUUACAAAUAAAGCUGUUCUGAAUAUUUGUGUACAAGUCACUACAUGAACAUAUAUGCUAAUUCUCAGGCAAAUAUCUAAGAGCAGAAUUGUUGGAUCAUAUUAUAGAAACGUUCUUGAAGAUAUACUCAGAAGUAAUGUUUUACCAGCUAUCUGGGCAUCCUUUAGCUCAGUCAAGUUGAUGCAUAAAAUUAACCAUCACAAGUUGCUUCCCCCUUCUUUACUAUGAAAAGUCAACUUUUGAGCCUUUUCUUAAAUGCCAUAUCUCCUGGGAGGCUUUUUCUAACUCACAGGUAGAGAUGGAUAUUCUGAAGCCUUAAAUUUGUACCUUGGUCACACAACAAACCAGCAGGACUUCCUGUGAAAUCAUGACCCCCAUGUGCUCUUUCAGCCCCCAUCAAUUCGUACCUCUAAGCACCUGAGAGCCAAAGUAAACCACAGGAAACCACAGGUACUAACUCUUUUAGACCCGAUGAAGUGUCUCCCAAAGACAGUCUGGCAUGACUCAAACUAAACAUCAUCUUUUCCUGGCUCUCAAUCCUGCUGGUCCCUGAACUAAAACGCACAUUAUCAACUCUACUUGUUCUUAGUCCUUUGGAGUCAGACUGGGACUACACCAUUGACUCUUCCGAAACUCCAGCUUACUGACUACAGAUCUUGGAACUUUUCAGCUUCCACAACCAUGAAAGUUAUGUAACAUGUCAAGAGUGAAGAAUGAGUUUGGAAAAGUUGCUCUUCAUGGCAUUCUUUUACUGUGAACCUCGAAUGGUGUGCUUGAGCCGUUGGAAGCAGGCUGAAACAAUUGGAAAACACUGAAUUAGUGGGAGGACUUUGUGGAAGACUGAACUGAAGAGUGAUAGAAGAGCAUAUCUGGUAGGAGAAAUUUCUAAGUAGAAAAAUUCUCAGGACGGUGCAUGUUUACUUCUAAGUGCUUACAGAGAGCUGCUAAAGAAAACAGAAGAAGAAAACAAAUACUUGGAAAAUUUGCAUUUGACUAUGUGGUAGAAUAAAAAAGCUUUUUCAGGAGAGAAAAUCAAUUAUGUGGCCCAGAGACCACUUGCUAAGGAAAUUAAUAUGUCUAAAAUGGAGCCAGUUGCUAAUCAUCAAGACAAUCAGAAACGGGCCCAAAGGUCAUCUCAGAGAUCUUUAAGUCUGCAGCUUCCAUCACAGACCCAGAGGCCUAUGAGGGCAGAAUUGUUUGGGGGAUUAAGUCCAGGAUGCCCUUCCCCUGUUUGCUGCCCAUGGCUGCCUUAGAACCCUGCUUCUGCAUUCUUACACAGUGCACUUUAGCCACACAGCUUUCUGGUGGCCCCAGGUGUGGUUCCACCCAUGGCUCUGUCCCCUGUUUCAGAAUAUGCAAGUGGCAGAUCUUGAUGGGGUCCACAUAGUGCUAAUUCUGUAGGUAUACAGAAUGCUAGAACAGCAGAAGUAUAGUAAGAUUCCCUUACAUUUCAAAGGAUGUAUGGACUGCCUGGAAGCCUGGACAGAAACCUGCUGCACAGGUAAAGACACUACAGAGAUUCCCUCCCAGAAGAAUAUCUGUGGAGCCAUUAAAAUAGGGCUCAAAAUCUGUCAAGUCACUAACAUUGUGCAAUGCCUACCUGGAAAAGACACAGGCAUUGGUGUGAAACUCCAAACCAUGAGAGCCGCUGUGCAAACUGCACCAAGCAAAGCUAGAGCUGUGGGGCUGCCUGAGACCUUGGGGGUCCAACCCCUGCACCAGUGUGCUCAGGAUGUAGGUCAUGGAGUCAAUGAACAUUAUUCUCUAACCUUAAGAUUUAAUAUCUUCCCUGAUGGGCUUUUAGCUUGCUUUGAGAAAGUUACCCUGUUCUUCCUAUUUCUCCCUUUUAGAAUGAGAAUGUGUACGCACUUCCUGCUCCACUACUGUACCUUGGGAGCAGAUAACUUGUUUUUGAUUUUAGAGCCUUACAGCUGGAAGAAGUUUGCCUUGAGUCUCAGAUGAGACUUUGGACUUUGGCCUUUUCAGUUGAUGCUGGAACAAGUUAAGACUUUGGGGACUAUUGUGAUGGAAUGAUUGUAUUUUGUAUUAUAAAAAGGGAGUGUGUUUUAGGGAAGCCAGAGGGAGAAUGUUGUGGUGAAUAUGGUUUGUCUCCACUGAAAGUCCUGUCAUGUGUUGGUACCCAAGGUAGUACUGUUGGGAGGCAGUGCCCUUAAGAUGUGAUUAGGACAUUAAGAAUAAUUAAUGCUUUUGUUUGUUUGUUUGUUUCUUUGUUUCUUUGUUUUUCAGGUGCGCUUUCUUGCUCUCAUGAGACUUGAUUUGUUAUCACACAGCAGACUGUUACACAGUGAGGGUGCCUCUCAUGUUUGGUCUCUUUUUACAUAUGCCUAUUUCCCCUUCUGCUUCUUCUCCACGUUGUGAUGCAGCAUUAGGCUUUCACCAGAAGCUAUCCAGAUGCAGCUACCCAAUCUUGAAGCAUCCUUAUUGGAGAACCAUAAGCUAAAUAAAACUCUUUCCUUUACAAAUAACACAGUCUCAGGUUUCUGUUAUAGUAACACAAAAUGGAUUAAGAUAACAAUCUACAGAAUGGGAGCAAAUAUUUGCAAAUUAUACAUCUGGUAAGAGGUUAAUAUCCAAAAUAUGUAAAGUAAUCCUAGAAUUCAACAGGAAAAAAAUAAAUCAACCCCAUUUAAAAAAUAAGCAAAUAACUAGAAUAGACUUUUCUCUAAAGAGAUAUACAAAUGGACAAUAAGUACACA